UGAGGAAUAUUGGUCAAUGGGCGAGAGCCUGAACCAGCCAAGUAGCGUGCAGGAAGACGGCCCUAUGGGUUGUAAACUGCUUUUAUGCGGGGAUAAAGUGCGCGACGUGUCGUGCAUUGCAGGUACCGCAUGAAUAAGGACCGGCUAAUUCCGUGCCAGCAGCCGCGGUAAUACGGAAGGUCCGGGCGUUAUCCGGAUUUAUUGGGUUUAAAGGGAGCGUAGGCCGCCAGGUAAGCGUGUUGUGAAAUGUACCGGCUCAACCGGUGAAUUGCAGCGCGAACUGUCUGGCUUGAGUGCACGGUAAGCAGGCGGAAUUCAUGGUGUAGCGGUGAAAUGCUUAGAUAUCAUGAAGAACUCCGAUUGCGAAGGCAGCUUGCUGCAGUGCGACUGACGCUGAUGCUCGAAGGUGCGGGUAUCAAACAGG
rnacentral:rRNA from 1 species